rnacentral:rRNA from 1 species
UACGGAGGGUGCAAGCGUUAUCCGGAUUCACUGGGUUUAAAGGGUGCGUAGGCGGAUUGGUAAGUCCGUGGUGAAAUCUCCGAGCUUAACUCGGAAACUGCCGUGGAUACUAUCAGUCUUGAAUAUCGUGGAGGUAAGCGGAAUAUGUCAUGUAGCGGUGAAAUGCUUAGAUAUGACAUAGAACACCCAUUGCGAAGGCAGCUUACUACACGAUCAUUGACGCUGAGGCACGAAAGCGUGGGGAGCAAACAGG